GCUGUGUUGAAAAGUGUAGGGGGUGUGAGCGUCACAAGGUUUGGAGUUAGACCACCUGAGUUUAGAUCUGGCUCUGCCGACUUCACACCUGUGGAACCUCUCAGGCUACGGAACAUCUUGGAGCCUCAGUUUCCUCCAACGUAGGGAUGUAAAGACAAGGGGAAGCUGCGUAAAGAGUAUACGGGAACCUUAUUAUUUUGUGACUCUGCUACAGUCAUCGUCGUCGUUCUUCCGAGUGGCAAAGACGGAUUGCCAACAUCCCCAGCCCUCCAGUCACUGACCUGACCGUUGAUGUGCUGAAAGCUUAUCAAGAAGGAACAAACACGCCUCCAGAUUCUCUUGAGAGUAAACUGCAAGUGACCUUCAACUCCAAGGCAUGUGAAAACAGCCCCGCAUGUGAGUGGUGGUUGAGUGGAUUCAAGUUAGGCAGCCCGGUAAUUUGGAUUGAACAGUGCUUUGGCUGCAACAAAUUGUGGUGAUAGAACAUAUGUUUCCCGGGCUUUGCUUUUGAUCUUCUGCUCCAAAGCUGAGGACACUCUCCCGAGGGGGAAAGAAAAAAGGAAAGAGAACUGGGUGGAAGAAAACGGACUUCACCCAUCAUUGUAAUAUUUCGUACCUGAAGCACAGCCACCUUGAGAGAAGAACAUGGUGGCCGCUCUUCACAGUCACCUGACUAAGGGUCUUGGGCUUGCUCCUGCCCUGGAGGGAAAUGCACCACCCCGGAGAGGCCCGCCCACAGCACCAGCACACUCACAGCCAAGCCUGGGCUCGGCCCCCGCGGACA